AAUUGAUCAGUAAUGAUCCAGGAGAUCUAUUAGGAGGAUUUAACAGGGACCCAAUGAAUUUUCAAUGUGCAACCAAAAUUAGAACUCAGGCUCUUGGUUUAAAUAUAGUGCAUGUAUGUGUUUGCUUUAAGGGAGCAGCUGUGGAAAGACAGAAGAUGAAAGCUCCCAUUCCAAAUUUGAUUCUCUUGUAUGCUACUCUAACUCAGAGCUUGAAGGUUGUGACCAAAAGAGGAUCAGAUCCACUGGAGAUCUGAAAUAUAUGUGCAUAUCAAAUAUACCACGUUCUCGUAAAACUACAUUGCAG
rnacentral:lncRNA from 1 species